rnacentral:lncRNA from 1 species
UUAUUUCAGUUAUGCUUAUGGAUCGAUGUUUACCAUCAUGUUUUCUUGCACUCUGUUAUUAUGUUCUGGAUGCUAGUAUUACGUUAAUAUUGGCAAUGCUUGGUAAUAGUACAUGUUGGUGAUAGUCUUUGGUGCAUGACUGUUGUUUGUCCCGAGUACCGUUGUUAUGCAUGUUCCUUUGCACCCAGUUGGUUAAAUGCUUGCAUGGUAGUUUAUCAUUAUGUUAUUACAUGGUAUUUAUUGUUGAUUCUAGUGGUCAUGUUAUGCUAUGAGUAGUGUUCUAGUUGUGAUAUUCACGCUCGUCAGUAUGCCAUGCUCAUCUGGAUAAAUGAUUAAAUGAUGUUGUUAUGCUCGUUGAUCAAGUUGCACCUCCUUAUUUUGAUAUCAUGUUCAUGCAUCAUGUUAUUUUAUCAUGGCUCAGCAUAUUGCAUUCAAGUUUAACCGGAUUAAAUUGAACUUGAACAAUUGUUGGCUGAGUCAUGGUGCCUCCAUAUCGAUCUGACCAGUGCAACCACGCUUACCCUAUGGGGGUCCUAACUGGGUCUGUUGUCAUGUCUCUCACCGGUGCCUCCCGCGAGGGAAGUUUAUGCACGGGCGCUACCCUGAUCAGGUAGGACGGCAUAAGCCUUGUGUGCCCGUUGUUAAGUAUGGAUCCUUGUCCCUGUUUGGGACCGUUUUGCCACGACGGUGGCCGUUGGUGCCUUUGGUAGGCACAGGGACACCCAGGACUUAGCCCAAAGGGGAGUUGGUCAGAGUGGCCGGGAGAGUGUCAUGGCAGUAGGAUGGUUUUGUCAGAACACUUUGGUCCACCCGAAUGGGAGUGACAGGCCAGGGUUCCGUGGUGUGGGUACAGUGUGCUAACCUCUGCAGAGUGUGUGUGUUAAAUCUAACGAUAGCCACGCCUGCGGAUAUGGGCCCAGCUCGUAGUUGGUCACACUAUGGGUCAACAGUAAUAAUAAUGUGCUUAAUAACAACGCCGGUUCGAUGAUGAAAGAAGUUGGUUGAUAUUUAUGUGAUCGUAAGAGGAUCACGGUGGUAUUGUGAAUACCGACUCAUUGGAUAUUUGUGGUGUUAUGUGAGAGUCAAGGGUAAAACUCAAGCUCCUUGUGGUCAUAAAUGAUUACUACGGUAUUGUUAAUACCAAGCUUGAUUGGAUCCUGAGAUGAUCGUGUGAUGUCCGUGAUGGUAAGUUUGUGCAGGUGAUGGUUACGAGAUAACCCGAGCAGAGUAAGUUGGUGCAUGAAAGUUUCAUCAUGUUGCAUGCUAGUCUCAUCAUGUUAAUUUGUUUAUG